ACUGCUCAGUAACACGUAGUCAACAUGCCCAGGGGACGUGGAUAACCUCGGGAAACUGAGGAUAAACCGCGAUAGGUCAUAGUAUCUGGAAUGAUUUAUGGCUUAAAUCUAUAUGGCCUCUGGAUUGGACUGCGGCCGAUCAGGCUGUUGGUGAGGUAAUGGCCCACCAAACCUAAAACCGGUACGGGCUCUGAGAGGAGAAGCCCGGAGAUGGGCACUGAGACAAGGGCCCAGGCCCUAUGGGGCGCAGCAGGCGCGAAAACUCUGCAAUAAGCGAAAGCUUGACAGGGUUAUUCUGAGUGAUUUCCGCUAAGGAAAUCUUUUGGCACCUCUAAAAAUGGUGCAGAAUAAGGGGUGGGCAAGCCUGGUGUCAGCCGCCGCGGUAAUACCAGCACCCCGAGUGGUCGGGACGAUUAUUGGGCCUAAAGCAUCCGUAGCCGGUUCUACAAGUCUUCCGUUAAAUCCACCCGCUCAACGGUUGGGCCGCGGGGGAUACUACAGGGCUAGGAGGCGGGAGAGGCAAGCGGUACUCGAUGGGUAGGGGUAAAAUCCACUGACCCAUUGAAGACCACCAGUGGCGAAGGCGGCUUGCCAGAACGCGCUCGACGGUGAGGGAUGAAAGCUGGGGGAGCAAACCGGAUUAGAUACCCGGGUAGUCCCAGCUGUAAACGAUGCAGACUCGGUGAUGGGCUGGCUUCGUGCCAACCCGGUGCCGCAGGGAAGCCGUUAAGUCUGCCGCCUGGGGAGUACGGUCGCAAGACUGAAACUUAAAGGAAUUGGCGGGGGAGCA
rnacentral:rRNA from 1 species